GACGAACGCUGGCGGCGUGCUUAACACAUGCAAGUCGAACGGAAAGGCCCUGCUUUCGUGGGGUGCUCGAGUGGCGAACGGGUGAGUAACACGUGUGUAACCUGCUCUUGUCUUUGGGAUAGCUUCAGGAAACUGGGACUAAUACCGUACAGCAGCUCCUGUUGCAUUGUGGGGGUUGGAUCGUUUCGGCGGUUGGGGAUGGACUCGCGGCUUAUCAGCUUGCUGGUGGGGUAGUGGCUUACCAAGGCUUUGACGGGUCGCCGGCCUGAGAGGGUGGCCGGCCACAUUGGGACUGAGAUAGGGACCAGACUCCUACGGGAGGCAGCAGUGGGGAAUAUUGCCCAAUGGGCGGAAGCCUGAUGCAGCAACGCCGCGGGCGGGAUGACGGCCUUCGGGUUGUGAACCGCUUUCGCCUGUGACGAAGCGUGAGUGACGGUAAUGGGUAAAGAAGCACCGGCUAACUACGUG
rnacentral:rRNA from 1 species